rnacentral:tRNA from 1 species
UUGGGUGUAGCUCCACGGUAGAGCGCUUGCCUAGCAUGCAUGAGGCUCUGGGUUUGAUCCCCAGUACUGCAA